rnacentral:rRNA from 1 species
UACAGAGGUCUCAAGCGUUGUUCGGAUUCAUUGGGCGUAAAGGGUGCGUAGGUGGCGCCGUAAGUCAGGUGUGAAAUUUCGGAGCUUAACUCCGAAACUGCAUUUGAUACUGCGGUGCUUGAGGACUGGAGAGGAGACUGGAAUUUACGGUGUAGCAGUGAAAUGCGUAGAGAUCGUAAGGAAGACCAGUGGCGAAGGCGAGUUUCUGGACGGUAACUGACGCUGAGGCACGAAGGCCAGGGGAGCAAACGGG